CUUGGUUGUAUAGGGAGAGGUAUUAGCAGUAGAAAGAGGGAAGUGUUCAUGCCAUUGUACAGAACACUGGUGAGACCUCACUUGGAGUAUUGUACACAGUACUGGAGACCGUAUCUUCAGAAGGAUAUUGAUACCUUAGAGAGGGUUCAGAGAAGGGCUUCUAAACUGGUUCAUGGAUUGCGGGAUAAAACUUACCAGGAAAGGUUAAAGGAUCUUAACAUGUAUAGCUUGGAGGAAAAGACGAGACAGGGGGGAUAUGAUAGAAACAUUUAAAUAUAUAAAGGGAAUCAACACAGUAAAGGAGGAGACUAUAUUUAAAAGAAGAAAAACUACCACAACAAGAGGACAUAGUCUUAAAUUAGAG